rnacentral:rRNA from 1 species
GACGAACGCUGGCGGCGUGCCUAAUACAUGCAAGUAGAACGCAGUUGCGAACGGGUGAGUAACGCGUAGGUAACUGCCUCAUAGCGGGGGAUAACUAUUGGAAACGAUAGCUAUUACCGCAUACUGUGAGAUGGACCUGCGUUGUAUUAGCUAGUUGGUGAGGUAAAGGCUCACCAAGGCGACGAUACAUAGGCGACCUGAGAGGGUGAUAGGCCACACGUGGACGGGUAAACGGCCCAGUAUCCUACGGGAGGCAGCAGUAGGGAAUCUUCGGCAAUGGACGGAAGUCUGAACGAGCAACGCCGCGUGAGUGAAGAGGGUUUUCGGAUCGGAAAGCUCUGUUGUUAGAGAAGCGUUAACUAAACAGAAAGGGACGGCUAACUACGUGCCAGCAGCCGCGGUAAUUC